GUAUUUGAAGUCCAGUAAAUAGCUUAGCUUCGAUUAAUAUCGUUUGUUGUCUAUGUUGUCGGACAUCUCUUUACAAAGAGGUAAAUUACUGUGUAUCCUAGCAACGUUUACUUUCUAAGGUGUCGGACAUCUCUUUACAAAGAGAUUUGAAAAAUGCGUUCUUCCCUUUAUUUUCUGCUGUGCAUGGCUAUAGUUGGAGUAACCGUUUCUCAGACAGAAGAAUCUAAUGAUUACAUAACUACAGUAGCCGUUUCUCAGACUGAAGAAUCUAAUGAUUACAUAACUACAGUCAGACUAACAAGGAGACCAGAAGAGUGUCUAUUCAGAAAAGUUUGUGAAACUCUGUCCGAUUGCUUUAAAGGAACCAAUCUCAAAGGCUAUGACGCUUGUCUUGAAGGUUGCUGCGUUAUGUUUGUGGUUGGUGACUAAUGAAAUAAAGCAAAAAUGGAUGCAUUAAAUACAGACAAUGAAAUCUA